ACCAGCUCAAGCAAUCAGGCUUUCUUUGUAUUAGCUGAAAAACAAGGAAAUCGCACAUCCACGCCUAACUGCCUCACACCUGUGCUUGCAAAAGUGGCAGAAGCACUGAGCAUCUUGUGACUAAUCUGGAAAAUUGUCUACUUCAAGCAAAGUGACUUUCAGUGUUUCAGUCAAUGCCACCACCAUAUCCAGAGGCAACCACUGUUCUGAAAUUCUUCCAUCAUAGUUUAGUUUAUUCUGCUCUAGAGGGUAUAUAAAUGGAAUCACAAGGCCGAAGGUGCAGCUCUUCUUAUGGAGAUAGCAGAGACACAAGAGACCAAGCUCAACUACACAAGCAUAUUUCAUGUCUCUGCUUACGUCACAUCUGUCAUUAUCCCAUUGGCCAAGGUGGAAGGAUCAAUAGCUGAGUGUGUCUUCGGGAACUAAGUGACAAAACAACACUAACAUACUCCAGUGAAAAGCACCACAUUUCUCUAGCCAUGGUCAAUAUUUGAAGGUGGCAAAACACAGAGAAUCCUGUUUGCAUCUGAUCUGCUCACUGCAAUAUAACACGUGCAUAAAACAGUGCAACCGUAUUUGUUUUAAUAAGGCCAUUCUGAGCAGCUGUUUAAUGAUCCAUGAUGUUAAAUGAAAACUACAGGUGUUCCAAAUGCAAACCUUAUGGCCCAGGGCCCCCCUUAUUACCGUUCUACAAUUAGCAGCCAACUGCUCUUAGGCUGUGCAAAGAAUUACCACCAUCAUCAUUACAUUAUUUCUUAAUUUCAUUCUCUGCCUAAGUGUCUUCCCCCAAAGGAAAAACCUGCUUGGCAUGGGAAAGCAUAAGAGUGAAAAAAUGAAAAGGGAAGGAGAACACAAAACACUCCCUGUCCAACCACAAGGAGGCCUCAGUGAAGGGGGAAAGAGCCAGCCAAAAGGCUCAGCCCCCUAAGGAAUCUUCCAGAGUGACUUUCUGGCCAAACUUAACAAAGUCUUGCUGAAACUAUUGGUGUUCAUAAGGAUUGCAUUAACCCUUUCUUCUUCAUGAUUCCCUAAGCUUAAUACUGUGCUAAGCCAAAUUGCCAGAAAGCUGCAUAGCUGGAUUCCAUCGCUCUGUCUUGUAGAGGGCUAAUUUUAUGCAAGUAUAAUUUUAACAUCACAACAGUUUUCACUUAAGGUACAUAUAAUAAACUGCAAAGAAGGAAGUCUUCUGUAUCACUUGUGAAAUUGCUGUCUGUAUCAUUAUCCAUUACAUACCUCAAUACCUCUUACAUAAAAAUGCCAGAGACAAAUUUAAUUAGAGCUCGG
rnacentral:lncRNA from 1 species